rnacentral:rRNA from 1 species
AAGAACGCAGCGAAAUGCGAUAAGUAAUGUGAAUUGCAGAAUUCAGUGAAUCAUCGAAUCUUUGAACGCACCUUGCGCUCCCUGGUAUUCCGGGGAGCACGCCUGUUCGAGUGUUNUGAACAUCUCAAGCUGACAUGCUUUUUGGCUUGGUAUUGGGCUCUGCCGUGUCCUUAGCUUGGGAACGGCUGGCCUUAAAAGCAUUAGCUGGUCCCUUCAUGCGAUAAUUGGUUCUACUCAGCGUGAUAAUUGAGUGAUCGCUGAGGACAUUCUUUUGGGAUGGCCAAUUCGCGUUUGGGCUGCUUCCAAUCUGGCCUACGGAUUUUCGAAUCUGUUCCACUUUCAAUUUUGACCUCGAAUCAGGUGGGACUACCCGCUGAACUUAAGCAUAUCAAUAAGCGGAGGAAAAGAAACUAACAAGGAUUCCCCUAGUAACGGCGAGUGAAGCGGGAAAAGCUCAAAUUUAAAAUCUGGCAGUCUUA